rnacentral:lncRNA from 1 species
AUGUCGCGUUCGGUGGAUGACGUGCCCUGUGCCAAUUUCGAGGCCAACAUAUUCGCGAAGAGCCUGUGCCAGCACUGUUUCCGCGCCGCAGGGGCUCACCAGCACGCUAACCAGGAACAUGCCGUGGAGGUGGCAGGGCGCAGCGCCGGCACCGAUGCAGAGCCGGGUGGGCCCUGGGACGCUGUCCGCAUCGUAGCACCCCGGUGCGAGGUGUACGUCUGCGUGGGCCGAGCCGACGGGGCGGCGCGCUGGCACCAGGGCAGGGCACGUCCCCCGCUCAGCCCCGGAGCCGAGGGCGAGCACGGAGAAACCGGCACCGAAGCCCGCGGCCGUGCCGAAGCCAGCUCUGCGCUCGCCAGGGACUGGGAAAUGACCAGGCUGUGGGACAGCUCUUUGGGAUCGGGCAAGCGGGACGCCAUGAGCUACGGGGGCCGCAAGGACGAGGUGCGGGCGCCGCAGGCAGAGAGACCCAGGUGGGGUCAGCCCCUUCCCUCUGGAUCCUGGGUGAGGACAGAGGCCCCGAGCUUUAGGAAAGAAAUCUGCCCGCUGAAAGCAGGUACACUUGGUUUGCUCCCGUGCUAGACCCUGGUUCUGGUUUGCUUUCCGCCUG